rnacentral:lncRNA from 1 species
UAGUUUUUAAGACAGUUAUUUUCUUAGAUCUCAAUAGACUGAGUUGUUUUAGCUAUUUCAGCUUUUGAAAGCUUUUCAAAAGAUUUCCAUUGUCUGAAAGGCAUAUGACCUGCCCCUUUUUUCAAUGUUAUUCGUUGGUAUAUGUCAAAAAAUAAAUCAGUAAAGUUAGUAAGUGGAAAAGAUCCUUUAGGACAUCAUGAUUGCUAUUUCCAAAACUUAAAGGCAAACGUAGAAGAUUCUCAUCAAAAUUGGGCCAUAUGUAUUUAGAUUAUAACUUUCAUAUGAAUGUCUUUGAACUAGCAAUUUAAAAUAAUUUAUUUUCUUUGCUUUUCAAUCUGAUUUGAAAGAGCACACGCUGAUAGGUAUUUCUGCAGCAGAUAGGAUAUUAAAGUCAGGUUGUAUGAACACAUAGGACUGUACUAUGAUGAACCUUUUCCUUUCUGAUAUAAAUAGGUAAGAAGAUUGUACUACAUGCUGCCCAGCCAAUAGCAAGAACAAAGUUAUUUCAAUUCUAGAACUUGGAUAUUUUUAGCCUAGGACCCAAAAUACCAAUCAUGUAAGCAAAAUAAGAGAUUCCUAUUAUGGUGAUAUAAUUUAAUUAAAGUUAUAUUUUGUGUUAAUUAUUUUAAACAACUGAAGUCCUUAGGUAGAGGCUGUCUUUUGUUCAUUUUCAGCAAAAACUGUGCAAUUAUGUUUACAUAUGUUUUCACAUCCCAAAAGGUGAAUAAUUAA